rnacentral:rRNA from 1 species
UACGAAGGGGGCUAGCGUUGCUCGGAAUCACUGGGCGUAAAGCGCACGUAGGCGGACUCUUAAGUCAGGGGUGAAAUCCUGGAGCUCAACUCCAGAACUGCCUUUGAUACUGGGAGUCUUGAGUUCGGGAGAGGUGAGUGGAACUGCGAGUGUAGAGGUGAAAUUCGUAGAUAUUCGCAAGAACACCAGUGGCGAAGGCGCUCACUGGCCCGAUACUGACGCUGAUGCGCGAAAGCCAGGGGAGCAAGCGGG